CCCUCUGCAUGCAGACACUGAACUUUCCUCAUAGAGUUUCAUUGAUUUAAUUCAUCUCUAUGAGGAGAUGCUGAUUGGCCAGGGCUGUGCUUGAAUUGUGCUGGCUCUGCCCCUGAUCUGCCUCCUUGUCAGUCUCAGCCAAUCCUAUGGGGAAGCAUUGUGAUUGGAUCAGGCCACCACUUCUGAUGAUGUCAGAGGUCAGAGGAAGUUCAC